rnacentral:rRNA from 1 species
UACGGAGGGCGCGAGCGUUGUCCGGAAUCACUGGGCGUAAAGGGCGCGUAGGCGGCCCUGGUAAGUCUGCGGUGAAAGCCCGGGGCUCAACCCCGGGUCGGCCGCGGGUACUGCCGGGCUGGAGUGCCGUAGGGCAAGCGGAAUUCCGGGUGUGAGCGGUGGAAUGCGUAGAGAUCCGGAAGAACACCGGAGGCGAAGGCGGCUGCUGGGCUUGGUCUGACGCUGAGGCGCGAAGCGUGGGGAGCGAACAGG